AGCCUAAACCGCCGUUGUUUUGGCAAGGGCGGGGUUGCAGGACCCUAUUAGUGAUGUUAUAAAAGAAGUGGAAGUUGUCUGGAAAGGCACACCGCAGGGCGUGAAAGUCGCGUACAUGCAAUUGAAUAACAACACAAGGGAAUCCUAAGUAGGGCGGGACACGAGGAAUCCUGUCUGAAUCCACGGGGACCAUCCCGUAAGGCUAAAUAUUACCGGAAGACCGAUAGUGAACCAGUACUGUGAAGGAAAGGUGAAAAGUACCCCGGACAGGGGGGUGAAAAAGAACCUGAAACCGUACGCCUACAAGCGGUCGGAGCGGGCAAGAGUCCGUAACGGCGUGCCUUUUGCAUAAUGAGCCUACGAGUUACUGUUGCUAGCCAGGUUAAGUACUUCAGGUACGGAGCCGAAGCGAAAGCGAGUCUGAACAGGGCGUGCUGAGUUAGCAGUAGUAGACGCGAAACCUAGUGAUCUACCCUUGGCCAGGUUGAAGUAUCCGUAAAAGGAUAUGGAGGACCGAACCAGUAUCCGUUGAAAAGGAUUUGGAUGAGCUGAGGGUAGGGGUGAAAGGCUAAUCAAACUGGGAGAUAGCUCGUACUCCCCGAAAUGUCUUUUGGGACAGCCUCAAGCUACAGAGUUUACCGGAGGUAGAGCUACUGAUAGGAUGCGAGGGCUUCACCGCCUAUCAAAUCCUGACAAACUCCGAAUGCCGGUAAAUGAUGCUUGGGAGUGAGUUGCCGGGUGCUAAUGUCCGGUAGCGAGAGGGAAAGAGCCCAGACCAACGGCUAAGGCCCCUAAAGUGUGUUAAGUUGACAGAACGAGGUGCGGUUGCUGAGACAGCUAGGAUGUUAGCUUGGAAGCAGCUAAUCAUUUAAAGAGUGCGUAACAGCUCACUAGUCAAGCGACUGUGCGUGGAUAAUAAUCGGGCAUCAAACACACUGCCGAAGCCAUGGACUUCAAAGAAGUGGUAGGGGAGCAUUCCAGAGGGCGUAGAAGGAUAACCUGUGAAGGAAUCUGGAGCGUCUGGAAAAGCAGAUGUAGGCAUAAGUAACGAUAAUGCGGGUUAAAAACCCGCACACCGCAAGCCCAAGGUUUCCUGAUCAAUGUUAGACAGAUCAGGGUUAGUCAGGACCUAAGGGGAAUCCGAGAGGAGCACCCGAUGGACAAAUGGUUAAUAUUCCAUUACCUGUAUGAUAAAGGGGAGGAGUGACGUAGGAGUGACAUGUACGCCGACUGACGGAAUAGUUGGUUAAAGCACGUAAGCAGAUCCGAAGAUUAAGAGUCAUUGGAUGCAGAAGUGCGACAGUACCGCAAGGCUUCGGCUGCGCGGAUAGUUACAGUAAGCAGACUACCGAGAAAAGCUUCGUACCCGUUACCUAUCAUAGAGCCUGUACCGUAAACCGACACAGGUGGGCGAGGAGAGUAUCCUCAGGUGCUCGAGAGAAUCAUGGCUAAGGAACUCGGCAAAAUGACCCCGUAACUUCGGGAAAAGGGGUCCCUGGCGACAGGGCGCAGAGAAAUGGCCCAGGCGACUGUUUAACAAAAACACAUGGCUUUGCAAAAUCGCAAGAUGAAGCAUAAGGCCUGACACCUGCCCGGUGCUGGAAGGUUAAGAGGGGGCGUCAGCCGCAAGGCGAAGCGCUGAAUCGAAGCCCCAGUAAACGGCGGCCGUAACUAUAACGGUCCUAAGGUAGCGAAAUUCCUUGUCGGGUAAGUUCCGACCUGCACGAAUGGUGUAACGAUCUGGGCGCUGUCUCAGCCAUGAGCUCGGUGAAAUUGUAGUAACGGUGAAGAUGCCGUUUACCCGCAACGGGACGAAAAGACCCCGUGAACCUUUACUAUAGCUUAGCGCUGAUUUUGGAUAAGUGAUGUGUAGGAUAGGUGGGAGACUGCGAAGCAGGUACGCCAGUAUUUGUGGAGUCGCCGUUGAAAUACCACCCUUUGCUUAUCUGGGAUCUAACUUGAACAAGGACACCGCUUGGUGGGUAGUUUGACUGGGGUGGUCGCCUCCAAAAGCGUAACGGAGGCUU
rnacentral:rRNA from 1 species